GCCUGUCAGCCCAUCCUGGGGUCUCGUUGUGUUCCAGGGGCACGAAAGGCCUCUCGGGUGCCAUCCCGGGAUCUGGAACGCCGGUGCCGAUCGGGCGCCGGUUUUCUGGUGUCGGCAGCCGAAAGCGAGGCGGGUUCUUGUCUUUCAGCCAUUUCUGGUCAGGGCUGUUUGCGGUGUUGUCCUGGGCUGUGCCGGCAGCCGGGCUCUCUAGCCAUCCAGUCUCAGGGACUGGGCCUUCAAGAUGCUGGGAAGAAGUUCUUACGUGUUGCAGCAGCUUCUCGUGUGGUUGCGCCGUCUCUGCUCGGUCGCGGCGGUGCCGCAGUCUCGUCAGGAGCCGUGACGUUGGGCUCCUUUUCCGUUUGGGGUUGCAGGAGCGGCUCCUCGCCUCGCUGCUGCCUCCCCGUAGAUUAUUGGGAUCGAUGCCCGUCUGGUCUCGGAGUGUCGUGUUCGUGGUGGAGCGUUUUUGGUGCUGUGGCAGUGGCGUGGUCUAUAAGGUUCUGCGGAGCGUCUGUCGGCCCGGGUGCGCGUUUGGCUCGGAGCUGCUCUGCCCGGACGCGUGGAGUCAGGGGAGGGUGGACGGAGCUCUGGCGGUCCCCAGUUAACCUGCUGACGCGUUGAAUUGCGUGGGCAGGGGCGGUGCGGUCAUCUGGGAUGGAGUAGCUGUGGGCAGGGGAGCGGAGGGUCCCCGCGCAGGCGUCCGAGAGCCUCCACGAGAGCUUGGGACGUUAUUGCGCGCCAGAAAGCAGACCUGUGGGCUGGUCAGGCUGUUGAUGGGCCGCUGGGUGACUUGUAGAAUCACCUCAUUUCAGGCGCAGAGGGACAACUUGGCACGGAAGAGCGACAGAGGAGGCGAGCUGUGCGCCUUAAGCAGGUGGGUCGGUGGGUGGUGCCAGAGGGAAGCUGUGCCGUGUGGCUCUCGCCAAGCUCGGUCGUUUCUCUGUUUCCUAGGUGCGAAGCGAAGAGGAAAGCGGGCUGUCGGCAGCGAAGCUCCUCGGGCAAGGCGGCAGCUGAGCGUCUCGGCGGUCCGCGGCGUGGCAGUCAAAAGCAAGGGCGGCCGGGUGGGCGAGCGGCCCAGGUAAGGGAGGGCGAGCUGGGACCGUCUGCGGGCAGGCUGUGUUUUCGGGCGGCGUCCGAGAGCGUGCCUCUGGUUUUGCGGGUGCCGCAGACGAGCCGGAAGGGGCGAAGACGCACGCCGGCCGGCAGCCGAGAAGGUGAGGCGGCGGUGGGCGUUGAGGAGUCCGGUGUUGCCCGGUGUCUCGCUUCAGCGUUUCCUUCUCGCUUUGCAGGCGCUUUGUGGGCCCUUUGGACCGGGAGGAGCAUUUGCGGCGUCACCAGCGCUGAGGGUUUGUGACCGUGCCAGCGGCAGGACACGCCGACCGGACCGCCCUGGAACUCAGCAGGAGGCGCUGAAGAGGAACCCGGCGACGCGGGAAGACGGCCGUUGGCGCACGUGGCGUUUUCCUCUGCCGAAGAUGGGUUCCGUCCCUCGGCCCUCUGAAAGCUAAGUGGAGGCGCGAGGGCUGGGAAGGGGCUGGGAAUCGCAGGGACGGGGGAUUUAGCUGUGCUAAUGGCAAGGGCCGUCUAGGAACCGUGCCCUUGGCGUGGGUGAAGGGCCCGGGGACCUUUACCGUGCGAUGCCAGCGUGUGCCGGGCAGGGCAGCUCCAGCCUGCGUCUGCGUUGUGGUGUAGUUCGGGAAGCCUGCCUUGCGCCUGUCAGCCGAUCCCGGGGUCUCGUUGCGUUCGAGGGGCACGGAAGGCCUCUCGGGUGCCAUCCUGGGAUCUGGAACGCCGGUGCCGAUUGGGCGCUGGUUUUCUGGUAUCGGCAGCGAAAAGCGUGGCGGGUUCCUGCCUUUCGGCCAUUUCUGGUCAGGGCUGUUUGUGGCGUUGUCCUGGGCUGUGCCGGCAGCUGUGCUUUCUCCCCAUCCAGUCUCAGGGACUGGAACUUCAAGAUGCUGGGAAGAAGUUCUUAGGUUUUUCAUCAGCUUCUCGUUUGGUUGCGACGUCUCUGCUCGGUUGUGGCGGUGCCGCCGUCUCGUCAGGAACCGUGACGUUGGGCUCCUUUUCCGUUUGAGGUUGCAGGAGAGGCUCCUCGCCUCCCCGUAGGUUAUUGGGAUCGAUGCUCUUGUGGUCUCGGAGCGUCGUGUUUGUCGUGGAGAGUUCUUGGUGCUGUGGCCGU